rnacentral:lncRNA from 15 species
AUGCUGAGUAAGGUUAAAAAGCACACCAACAGUACAGCUGAUACUGUAUCUGCUGACUUCAUCAUUAUGUGUGUGUGUGUGCGCGUAUGUGUGCGCAUCAUCUCAGAUAAGGCGGCCUACUCUCCGUUUCUCUCCUCGUCUCCUCUCUCUUCUCAUGCCCCCUUGUUGCUGCUCCUUCUUCUGUUCUCUUUGUCUCCCGAGCUCGGAGGCCUCUCCCGAGAUGAAAGGGAGAGGAGAUAAGGGCAGGUAAGAGAGUGCAGGAAGGGAAAAACAGCGGAGAGGAAAGUGAUAAGGAGGGAAACAAUGAGGGCUUUGAUAGCAUGUGAGCUACUGUGUGCAUGUAUAUAAUUGGGCAUGUAACUGUGCCUAUAUGCCCUGCGGCGAUGUGUAUAAUCUUAUAUUUUGUAAGCAGAAACCUUUUUACUUUAAGCUACGGCAGGUUAAAGCUUGAUUGAUGAAUCGGUAGGUGAAGAAGAGGUGAAGGUAUAAAACAAUGACUUCCUGUUGACCCCUCAUUUUACCCCUAUUAGCCUCUUUUCCCUCUCUUUUAUUAGCGCUCACUCAUCCUUUUAAGCCAGCAUUUCUCUUUUAGCCAGUCAUUACCUUGCACAAGAAGAAUCCCGCCGACACACACACACACACACACACAUACACACAAACUCACCUGUUUCUCCCAUUUGGGGCUCUGCAGCCUUUUAGCUGCCCCGGCCUUCCUCUCCUGUCCCCUCUGGGUGUGGUUUUCCAAUCUGUCCUGCUUUACUCAUUACAGCCUCACCCACCCAAACUCAGGCCCAAACAUCCACCUGCCACCACCGUGAGUGUGUGUGUGUGUGUGUGUGUGUGUGUGUGUGUGUGUGUGUGUGUGUGUGUGUGUGAGAGAGAAUAUGCCGGACUUUCCCAGAAGGGUCAUUAAAAUUUUAUCUCAUUCGAAUACGAGUGAGAAGGUGCGAGCGUGGGUGUUUGCGUGUACGUGUAUAAGGAGGAGAGUGCAUGGGUUCUGCAAAAGCCGCAGCUGCCCGCCAAAAGCAACAAAAAAAAACUGGAAUCGAAGAAAACAAACAGAGGAGGCUUGUCACAAAAACAUUUCCUUGACCGAUGCUUC